rnacentral:rRNA from 1 species
UACGAAGGGGGCUAGCGUUGCUCGGAAUCACUGGGCGUAAAGCGCACGUAGGCGGCUUCUUAAGUCAGGGGCGAAAUCCUGGAGCUCAACUCCAGAACUGCCUUUGAUACUGAGAAGCUUGAGUCCGGGAGAGGUGAGUGGAACUGCGAGUGUAGAGGUGAAAUUCGUAGAUAUUCGCAAGAACACCAGUGGCGAAGGCGGCUCACUGGCCCGGUACUGACGCUGAGGUGCGAAAGCGUGGGGAGCAAACAGGG